AGCCGAUUUAUGUUCCUUUGAUGGAACUCUGAAUUACUCGUGGGAUUUUGCACAGACUGUGGAUUAUCCACACCAUGCAAGACAGGCUGGCCCUAUCUACUUUGCAUUGCCAAGGGAACAGGAAAUCAAACAUUCUACGUGAUUGAUGAGGCAGAGCUGCCUGGAAAGGGUGCAGGCUGUGUCAUAAGCUUAGUUCACCAUUAUUUCAAGCACCAUGGUUAUGGAGAGAAGAACGCACAGGCCUUCAUGAAUCCACCAGCAUCAGCAUCAACACCAUGCUAGCAGGCCACACAAAGUUUGCUCCUGACUGGCAUUUUGGUGUUUGGUUUGUCAAAUGAAGUGGAUGGCGAGUGAUGCAGAGAAAAUGCAAGACAUUGCUACAACCGUACGAUCAUCAUAACGGUUGGUUCACAACAUUCCCCAUCUCGUGUGUGACAUGGAGAGUCCGGUCAAAUUCUUUGAGUGGUGGUCACACCAUGAAGCCGAGUUCAGGAACAUAAAAAUCAUAACUAAAUACCACCAUUUCUUUGUUUCCAAAGAUAAUUUCGGUGUUUUUCCUUUUAAGGAGUAUGCUGACUCUACCAAGGAGUGUUUUGAUCUUUUGAAGUGUGCAAUAAAUAAGAAUGCCAUGCCUCCACUUAAGACCAUUCCAGUGCUCCCUUUAGCAAGACAGUGGCACUUGUAUGAUCACAUUUCGAAAAUUUUCAGGUCUGAGUCAGCAAAAGAGAAAACAUGUCCCAAACCUCUUAUUCCAAACUAAUUGUUUAUUUAGAAUGUACAGUUUUGAAAAAUUGCUGACAAUUAAGGCAUUAUAAAAUGUUGUAUAGGGAGUUGUGUGCAGUAAAGUAGUAUUACGUGUAUAUUUGAAUGUAUUGUUGAUUUGCCUGCAAUGAAUGGUUAAUUCUGUCAAUGUUGCAUUAUGAUGUCUUUAUUAUGUUAAUUUACAUGCAUUUCAAGUAUAGCCCAUGUUGUGUAAUUUUUGUUUUUAAAAAAAUAUUUAAAAACCUGGU